GGGGAUGUAGCUCAGUGGGAGAGCACUUCCCUCGCACGGAAGGGGCCGUCGGUUCAAGUCCGAUCAUCUCCACCA
rnacentral:tRNA from 1 species